UUGCCUGGCGGCCGUAGCGCGGUGGUCCCACCUGACCCCAUGCCGAACUCAGAAGUGAAACGCCGUAGCGCCGAUGGUAGUGUGGGGUCUCCCCAUGCGAGAGUAGGGAACUGCCAGGCAUC
rnacentral:rRNA from 1 species